CGGGGUGUAGCUCAGUGAUAGAGUGCAUGCUUAGCAUGCACAAGGUCCUGGGUUCAACCCCCUGUACCUCCA
rnacentral:tRNA from 1 species